UACGAAGGGUGCAAGCGUUACUCGGAAUUACUGGGCGUAAAGCGUGCGUAGGUGGUGAGUUAAGUCUGUCGUGAAAGCCCCGGGCUCAACCUGGGAAUGGCGAUGGAUACUGGCUCGCUAGAGUGCGGUAGAGGAGAGUGGAAUUCCCGGUGUAGCAGUGAAAUGCGUAGAGAUCGGGAGGAACAUCAGUUGCGAAGGCGGCUCUCUGGACCAGCACUGACACUGAGGCACGAAGGCUAGGGUAGCAAACAGG
rnacentral:rRNA from 1 species